AGCAGGAAAGAAAGGGGCUCACUGCGGCGGACGGCCCUGAGCCCGCGUUAGCGACAGCCCGCGCACGACGCCCGCCCGGGCCUGCAGGGCGAGCGGGAGACCGAGGAGCAGCCUACGCCUCGGCCCGGCCCAGCGGGGACCCGCCCAGGGGCCACUCCCCAAGGGAGGCAGCCAGUCACUCGCCCGCCCCGCCAGGCCCGCUCCUGAGGGGACGGACUCCCGCCCGCCCUCACACCGCGCCUCACGCCAGGCCCCCAGGCUUCGGGUGUUCGGGACCCCAGAACAGGACCAGAAUUCCAAGUUGACCUAAGGGGUACAUGAAGAUUGCUGGAUGGUGGGGACCCUGGGUGAACAGCAGAAGGAUGGGAGGGUAAACCCUGCCUGUGGAAUGCAGAGCGAUUGACGCUGUCCACCUCAAAAGACGUCAGAAGCUUCAAGGAAGAUGUCCCAGGGGGACUGUGCUGUGAAACAGAUGAAACAGGUGACUCUGGGAUGAGUGAUGAGUGUAACUCAGGGCAGGAAGCAGGAGGCAAAGUCUAAAAGCCACUCACACUAUACAACAAAAGUCCUGGAUGCUGUACAAAGAGAGAAGUGCUACCCUAGGGUCCGAUGGGGUAGCUCAGUCAACAAAAUGAAGAAGACUACAGAACACAAGGUAAGAAUAAGAAACAGCCGGUUGUGGUGGCACACGCGAAGAAGAGAAGAGUUCGUGCUAUGGCGUACCCAUGGACACUGCCUCCCCUGCUAUCCGUAAGCUAAUGUGGUUCUCAAGCACUACCUUGUCGGCUGAGGGAGGGCGCCCCCCUGUGAUGGGAGAGAGGCUGAGGGCUGCACCGGCUGCUGCGAUGAUGCUUGUUGCUGCAUGCGAUCCUGAAGGCUUCGUGCUUUUCGAAUACUGAUUUGCAACUUCUUAUCGACUAGGGCUCUGCUGUGCGUGCUAGAGCUGGCAUCAUGCAGGGGGCUGCAAGAUUGAAAUGUCAAGCCAGGUAUGACGGCACAUGCCUGUUAUCCCCAUUACUCUGGAGGUGGAAGGAGGAGGAUCCCUGAGCUAUACAGCAAGGGAGGGUUUGGGGUGGCUCAGCUAUAGAGACCCUGGCAAGUGUGAGGCCCUGAGUUCCAUCUCCAAUAUCACAAAAAGAAAAAAAAAAGAACAGAAAAGACCAUAGUAAGGCUAUAGAAAGAAGAUUACCUCAAGCUGUUAAACUCGAAGACUAGUCUCUUGGCAGUAGUGGCAAUCUAAAACUAAUUUGCUUUUGUGUUUUUUGGUUGGGGUAUUUGCGUACAUAUAUGUCUGUGUACCUCGUGUGUUUUUGGUGCCUGUGGAGGCCAGAAAAGGGCAUUGGAUGCCCUGGGACUGGAAAUGCAGAUGGUUGUGAGGCACCAUAUGGGUGCUGGAAAUCAAACCCAGGUCCUCUAGAAGAUCAGUCCUGUUCCUGGGCUCGCCUGACCACUUCUUCCUGUAGUUCAUCCAAUUCACUUCUAGAGGUGACCUCCCCAUCUGAGAUAGAAGCAAAGAAGAUCAAUUACCACACCUCCAGAAUCAAGGCGAAUUAUCUGUUAACCUUAUGGUCACGAUGCCAUUUUCCCUUGGAGCUCUCGCUUUCCAGUUUGUUUCAGAUCCCUUUUCAUUAGAAACAGAGAGAGCAGCACAGGCCACGAAUAGUGACGGUGUUUACAGCAUGUAUAUUUUCAAUAUCUCAUGAAUACUAACAGUGUAACUCUUAAUAUGUUUUAAGCAUUUUCAAUAUACUAAGAACAAUUUUAAAAACAU
rnacentral:lncRNA from 1 species